GAGUUUGAUCAUGGCUCAGAGCGAACGCUGGCGGCAGGCUUAACACAUGCAAGUCGAACGGGUACCUUCGGGUGCUAGUGGCAGACGGGUGAGUAACACGUGGGAACGUACCUUUCGGUUCGGGAUAAUCCAGGGAAACUUGGACUAAUACCGGAUACGCCCUUCGGGGGAAAGAUUUAUUGCCGAUAGAUCGGCCCGCGUCUGAUUAGCUAGUUGGUGAGGUAAUGGCUCACCAAGGCGACGAUCAGUAGNCUGGUCUGAGAGGAUGAUCAGCCACACUGGGACUGAUUACACGGCCCANACUCCUACGGGAGGCAGCCANUGGGGGAAUAUUGGACAAUGGGNCGAAAAGCCUGAUCCAAGCCAUGCCGCGUGUGUUGAUGAAGGCCUUAGGGUUGUAAAGCACUUUUGUCCGGGAAGGAUAAUGACUGUACCGGAAGAAAUAAGCCCCGGCCUAACUUCNUGCCANCAGCCGNNGUAAUACNAAGGGGGCUAGCGUUGCUCGGAAUCACUGGGCGUAAAGGGCGCGUNGGCGGACUUUUAAGUCNGGGGGUGAAAAGCCCAGGGCUUCAACCCUGGAAUUGCCUUUC
rnacentral:rRNA from 1 species